UACGUAGGUGGCGAGCGUUGUCCGGAAUUACUGGGUGUAAAGGGCGUGUAGGCGGGAAUGCAAGUCAGAUGUGAAAUUCCGAGGCUCAACCUCGGCGCUGCAUCUGAAACUGCGUUUCUUGAGUGUCGGAGAGGAAAGCGGAAUUCCCAGUGUAGCGGUGAAAUGCGUAGAGAUUGGGAGGAACACCAGUGGCGAAGGCGGCUUUCUGGACGAUAACUGACGCUGAGGCGCGAAAGCGUGGGGAG
rnacentral:rRNA from 1 species